GUGCUUAUUUCAACAGCAAAUAUAAAAAAUUUGGAAGGAUACAUAUAUUAGAAUGACCCCUGAGGGAAGAUAACAUGUAAAUUCAUAAAAUGCCCAUAUUUAU
rnacentral:snRNA from 1 species